CGCCAUUACAACUAAGAGGAUACGACUCGGUGACGUAGUUCUUAAUUUCACCAAGAAAAGUUGUGGUUGAAGAUGCAUUCAAGGUGUUUCAAGACUCAAGGUCGGAUCUGCACAUCAAGCUUGCAAGAGGAAGAUUGGAAUCAGGAAUCCUUGAGAAGAUGACACUCUGAGAUGUGCAGGAAGAUGUGUGGGGAGGCAGCCCACCAGCAAGGCUUCCCCUGAAAUGGCGGCUGAAGAGACACAAGUACAUAAAGUGCUAUAGAAGCUUUACUGUAGUGAAAUAUUUGCCAUCAUUCUGCAAUACACACAUGGUCUAAAAGAGACAUGACAAGACAAGCACAUAAGAAAAUGAAAUGAUGGAAAACCUCUUCAGUUGAUUGUGUUCUGCUCAGAUGUUGCCUAAAGCGA